rnacentral:rRNA from 1 species
UGGGGAAUAUUGCACAAUGGGCGAAAGCCUGAUGCAGCGACGCCGCGUGAGGGAUGACGGCCUUCGGGUUGUAAACCUCUUUCAGCAGGGAAGAAGCGAAAGUGACGGUACCUGCAGAAGAAGCGCCGGCUAACUACGUGCCAGCAGCCGCGGUAAUACGUAGGGCGCGAGCGUUGUCCGGAAUUAUUGGGCGUAAAGAGCUCGUAGGCGGCUUGUCACGUCGGUUGUGAAAGCCCGGGGCUUAACCCCGGGUCUGCAGUCGAUACGGGCAGGCUAGAGUUCGGUAGGGGAGAUCGGAAUUCCUGGUGUAGCGGUGAAAUGCGCAGAUAUCAGGAGGAACACCGGUGGCGAAGGCGGAUCUCUGGGCCGAUACUGACGCUGAGGAGCGAAAGCGUGGGGAGCGAACAGGAUUAGAUACCCUGGUAGUCCACGCCGUAAACGGUGGGCACUAGGUGUGGGCGACAUUCCACGUCGUCCGUGCCGCAGCUAACGCAUUAAGCCG